CAGUAGCCGCGGUGAGACAGAGGUCCCGAGCGUUGUUCGGAUUCAUUGGGCGUAAAGGGUGUGUAGGAGGUCAGGUAAGUCGUGUGUGAAAUCUCAGAGCUUAACUCUGAAACUGCGCUCGAUACUGCUUGGCUAGAGGAUCGGAGGGGGUAACGGAAUUCAUGGUGUAGCAGUGAAAUGCGUAGAUAUCAUGAGGAACACCGGUGGCGAAGGCGGUUACCUGGAAGAUUCCUGACUCUGAAACACGAAAGCCAGGGGAGCAAACGGGAUUAGAUACCCGGGUAGUCCCUGUCUCUUAUAC
rnacentral:rRNA from 1 species